UACAGAGGGUGCAAGCGUUGCUCGGAAUCAUUGGGCGUAAAGGGCAGGUAGGUGGUCUCAUUUGUCUGGGGUGAAAGCCCAGGGCUUAACCCUGGAAGUGCCCCGGAAACGGUGAGACUGGAGUCUUGGAGAGGGUCGUGGAAUUCCCGGUGUAGCGGUGAAAUGCGUAGAGAUCGGGAGGAACACCAGAGGCGAAGGCGGCGACCUGGACAAGUACUGACACUCAACUACGAAAGCGUGGGGAGCAAACAGG
rnacentral:rRNA from 1 species